GCCCGUGUGGUCUAGGGGUAUGAUGCGUCCUUCGGGAAUUUAUCCAUCUAGCGACAAAGUUAGAAAGAAUGGACGAGGUCCUGCGUUCAAAUCGCAGCUCGGGCC
rnacentral:tRNA from 1 species